rnacentral:rRNA from 1 species
GUUGUAUGGUUAAGUGACUAAGCGUACAUGGUGGAUGCCUUGGCAGUCAGAGGCGAUGAAGGACGUACUAACCUGCGAUAAGCUGUGAGAAGUCGGUAAGAGACGCUAUUACUCACAGAUUUCCGAAUGGGGAAACCCACCCGAGAUAACUCGGGUAUCUGUUACUGAAUACAUAGGUAACAGAGGCGAACCGGGAGAACUGAAACAUCUAAGUACCCCGAGGAAAAGAAAUCAACCGAGAUUCCCUCAGUAGCGGCGAGCGAACGGGGAUUAGCCCUUAAGCAUCUUGGAAGUUAGUGGAACGGUCCUGGAAAGGCCGGCGAUACAGGGUGAUAGCCCCGUACACGAAAACAACCUUGAUGUGAAAUCGAGUAGGGCGGGACACGUGACAUCCUGUCUGAAUAUGGGGGGACCAUCCUCCAAGGCUAAAUACUCCUGACUGACCGAUAGUGAACCAGUACCGUGAGGGAAAGGCGAAAAGAACCCCUGUGAGGGGAGUGAAAUAGAACCUGAAACCGUGUACGUACAAGCAGUGGGAGCCCUUCGGGGUGACUGCGUACCUUUUGUAUAAUGGGUCAGCGACUUACAUUUUGUAGCGAGGUUAACCGUAUAGGGGAGCCGUAGGGAAACCGAGUCUUAACUGGGCGUCUAGUUGCAAGGUGUAGACCCGAAACCGGGUGAUCUAGCCAUGGGCAGGUUGAAGGUUGAGUAACAUCAACUGGAGGACCGAACCCACUAACGUUGCAAAGUUAGGGGAUGACCUGUGGCUGGG